rnacentral:pre_miRNA from 1 species
AAUAAAUAUAAUUUUAUAUUGUUUUAUAUCCAACGUUUAACCGUUUCUCUUAUUUGAAAUUUUUUUUAUUAUUGGCAGUAUUUUUUAUUGUUAUUUGAUUAUAAAACAUGAAUAUUACUUUAUGUGUGACUAAUUUUUUUCUAUUUUUUCAUAAGUUUUUUAAAUAAUACGGAGGGUCAAACGUUGGGCAUGGAUACCCAUGGCUGCACUUAUU